rnacentral:rRNA from 1 species
CCCUUAGAUGUUCUGGGCUGCACGCGCGCUACACUGAUACUUUCAGCGAGUCCACCACCUUGCCUGGAAAGGUGGGGUAACCUCUGGAAAGUGCAUCGUGAUGGGGAUCGAUUAUUGUAAUUAUUAAUCUUCAACGAGGAAUUCCUAGUAAGCAUGUGUCAUCAGCCCGUGCUGAUUACGUCCCUGCCCUUUGUACACACCGCCCGUCGCUCCUACCGAUUGAGUGGUCCGGUGAAAUCUCGGGACGGCGGCUUGGUCGCUUGCGUCCGACUGCUGAAACUUGAUUAAACCAUAUCAUUUAGAGGAAGGUGAAGUCGUAACA